AUGUGAGCAUCUAUUGACUCCAUUUUAUCUUCAAACUUCGACGCCUUAAUCCUGUUUCUUACCUCAUUUUCAGUGUCACAGAUGUACAACUGUGCCCAGCGUGGUCUGUCUUUACCUUCAGGUAGUAGAGUGCCUAUUCUGUGGUAAUUUUGCCCAUUCAUUCUAAAACAUAGGACCCACUGCUAUUGUUUUUUUUUUCUAUUUUCCCUCCAAUUGUCGUGAAAGCGAACAUGGAGUUGUACAAUCUGAUAUUUUGUGUAUAUUUUUUUGACCUGUUUCUAUUGUCUUUCCUUAGCGAUUCUGCAAGGUAAGUCGGUAGCUCUCUGAAUGGUGGCAAAUCAACCUUUCCCUGUUGGCAUCAUAGUCCGAAAGAUGGCAUGCUUUUCACUCUACCUGAAGUUCUUUCUUCGUACCAGAAAAUUGCGCCACAUCGGUCACACUUGGAGCUUGGUUUUCCUAUUAGUCCUUUCCGAUAUCCUGUCCAAUUUUCCGAUUUAGCAUCAAUUUAAUGUUAGCAUUGUCUCGUAUUGUUAAUACUUCAAAAAAAUCAAUAGAACUUAUGUAUCUCGUGUUUAUUUCUUUCUGCUUGAUAUUGAUGUAGCACAAUUUUUCUUACUUUUAGUCACACUAGUUGGAUGCCCGUGCGUUGCCACGAGAUAAAAAUAUAUUUUUAGACGGAAUAAAAUACUCCCUCUAUUCCUAUGCAUAGGGCCUAAUGUGUUUGUCGAGGCUAACAUUGACCACAUGUUAAAGCAAUAAUAUAUGGUAAUAUAUGACAGCAAAUUACACAAAGCAUACCAUCAAAUUUGUAUUUGAAACGAGUUUUCAAUGAUAUAAUUUUCAUAUUAUACAUCUCAUAUACUAUUAACCUUAUCAAUAGUCAAAGCAGACUCGAAAAACACAUUAGGCCCUGUAUAUAUGG
rnacentral:lncRNA from 1 species